CGUCGACCGGCGCACGGGUGAGUAACGCGUAUCCAACCUUCCCAUUACUGUGGGAUAACCUGCCGAAAGGCAGACUAAUACCGCAUAGUCUUCGAUGACGGCAUCAGAUUUGAAGUAAAGAUUUAUCGGUAAUGGAUGGGGAUGCGUCUGAUUAGCUUGUUGGUGGGGUAACGGCCCACCAAGGCAACGAUCAGUAGGGGUUCUGAGAGGAAGGUCCCCCACAUUGGAACUGAGACACGGUCCAA
rnacentral:rRNA from 1 species